CGAAUCCAGAAAAUAAUGUCCCAGUUCAGAUUGCAGGCUGCAACUCGCCUGCAUGAAGUCGGAAUUGCUAGUAAUCGCAGAUCAGCAUGCUGUGGUGAAUACGUUCCCGGGCCUUGUACACACCGCCCGUCACACCAUGAGAGUUGGGAAUACCCGAAGCCUGUGAGCUAACUGUAAGGAGGCAGCAGUCGAAGGUAGAAUCAAUGAUUGGGGUGAAGUCGUAACAAGGUACC
rnacentral:rRNA from 1 species